rnacentral:tRNA from 1 species
AGGGGUGUAGCUCGGUGGUAGAACAUAUCCUUAGCAUGCACAAAGUCUUGGGUUCGAUCCUCAACACCCCCA